rnacentral:rRNA from 1 species
AUCCUGGCUCAGAUUGAACGCUGGCGGCAUGCCUUACACAUGCAAGUCGAACGGCAGCACGGGUGCUUGCACCUGGUGGCGAGUGGCGAACGGGUGAGUAAUACAUCGGAACGUACCUUAUCGUGGGGGAUAACGCAGCGAAAGCUGUGCUAAUACCGCAUACGCCCUGAGGGGGAAAGCGGGGGAUCGAAAGACCUCGCGCGAUUAGAGCGGCCGAUGCCUGAUUAGCUUGUUGGUGGGGUAAAAGCCCACCAAGGCGACGAUCAGUAGCUGGUCUGAGAGGACGAUCAGCCACACUGGGACUGAGACACGGCCCAGACUCCUACGGGAGGCAGCAGUGGGGAAUUUUGGACAAUGGGGGAAACCCUGAUCCAGCAAUGCCGCGUGAGUGAAGAAGGCCUUCGGGUUGUAAAGCUCUUUUGUCAGGGAAGAAACACCGGCUCUAACACAGUCCGGGAAUGACGGUACCUGAAGAAUAAGCACCGGCUAACUACGUG